UAUUGCACAAUGGGGGAAACCCUGAUGCAGCGACGCCGCGUGAGUGAAGAAGUAUUUCGGUAUGUAAAGCUCUAUCAGCAGGGAAGAAAAAAGACGGUACCUGACUAAGAAGCCCCGGCUAACUACGUGCCAGCAGCCGCGGUAAUACGUAGGGGGCAAGCGUUAUCCGGAUUUACUGGGUGUAAAGGGAGCGUAGGCGGCCUGGCAAGUCUGGUGUGAAAUACCGGGGCCCAACCCCGGGACUGCAUUGGAAACUGCCAGGCUGGAGUGUCGGAGGGGCAGGCGGAAUCCCUGGUGUAGCGGUGAAAUGCGUAGAUAUCAGGAGGAACACCGGUGGCGAAGGCGGCCUGCUGGACUGCGACUGACGUUGAGGCCCGAAAGCGUGGGGAGCAAACAGG
rnacentral:rRNA from 1 species